UCCUGAUCUGCCCAAGCCAGCGUCUUGAUCCCCGCGCCCAGGGAGAUGGGUCUGUGCCUUCACUGCCUCUGAACCCUUUGUUUCAUCAACAGGAUCUUUUCUGCACAUGUGGCACUGAGAGCCCCUUCCCAUAUGGACAGCGGCUGAACAGAAGUGAUUGGGAGCUGCAUGGCCCCCUUAGGAAGACGGAAAGUGCAGCAAUCUGGAAGGAACCUGGAGUUUGGAGUCAGGUAACUGACUUUGAGAGUUGGCUCCUCCAGCUGUGUGACCCUGGGUCACAAAAAUGGCCAAGGAGGUGGUCCUGAAGUUCUGACAGUUUCCUCAGUGGGAGAUGCGCACUCUGGGCGAUCACACAGACAGCACGGAGAACCCCGGGGGCCUGUGUGAAUGACGGGGUCUGCGCAGAGAGAGCAAGGUGCCACGAGGGUGAGAAUGAGAGAGAGAGACGGUGAUGCUCUGCUGCCCAUUUGACACACGAUCCUGGAGAACCUACUGAACGCCGGGCACCCAGGAGCGCCACCCAGAAGGCCGGCCUUAUGACUGGCUCCCAGGAGAAAGGCAGCCCCCCGGGAGGACCCUUCCUAGUAGCCGGUUCCCGGAGGAGGGGUGACGUAUCAACUCACCAGAUCAGUGUUUACUCCCCAGGAGUCCUGGGCAUUUUAGCACUGGAUGAUGAGCCCCUGAGGGCAGACGCAGGUGUUCCUCUGUUUGGAGCUCCACAUCUCGGAUCAGGCAUGGACCAAGAGAUGUGACAGUUGUAACUUGUAACAGCUCCGUGUGGAGCUGGGUUUGCAGGUCUCACGGCAGGCACCUCUGAGCCCCAGGUGAAGUGUACACUGCUCCCAAGCUCUCGUUUUCCCCGGUCCUGGAAGUUACCACAUGAGGAUGAAUAAGGAAGACUCAAAAUGUAGUGAAGGAGACCAGUCACCUACCACCAUGGGAGCCCAGCUGACUAUCUGUGAACAUAUGACUGAAGGACCUCUCCCCCCUGCAUGGCCGGGGCGUCCUUCAGAGAGGAUGACUGGGGAGGGGUUAAUGACAGGGGGAAGCCUGGGCUACCAGAAGGGAAGAGCUGCACGGUACCUCUGAAGAGGGGGACUGGGGGAACACAUUGGUCUCCCAGCAUCCUGGGCACAUGGCACCUGGUGCGGGGGAAGACCUGUCCUUACAGGGAAGGUCAGGUCACAAAUAUUUAACUUGUUGACUGGAGCUCAUUGAUGGGCGCGUGAGGGCUCAUUAUACUACCUCUGUCUAUUUUUGUGUAGAUGACAUUUGCCAAAGUAAAGGAAAGAAGAAGAGAGAGAGAAGAAAGAAAGAUCAACGCAUGUCAUGCUUCCCAUACUACUUGCUGAUUACAAGCUGACUACCCCCCUUCCUGCUGGUAAAGGCGGCUCUGAUCCUGGCCACGUGGUUCUGGCUUACUUGGUGAUCGUUUUGCCCUUUGCAAAUUAAGAAUGUGGCAUUCAAGUUUGGAUGAGCACUGCCCCAAGUGUGGUAUGGGGAUCAGAGGCUACGUGUGAACUGUUUGUUACCAGAAUACAAGGUAAUCGAGGGUAAAUAAUUUAGAAACUUCUGUAGCCAAUGACUUUGCCCUGCCGUCCAAGCUCAGGGUCAGUGGAUGGGUCUCGUGAACAGGGCUUGAGGGUAGUCAGAUUCGAGUGGUGAAUGUCAUGUGGUGUGAACUGGGGCUUGAUCACACACGGUAGGACCAAACAUCAGACCAUGAUGGAGGGGAUUUUUUUUUCAAGUGAUAUCUCACAACAUAUGGCUUGAAUCCUUGGGACUUUCGACGGCGUCAGUCAGUCCUUUAGAAUCUCGUCGUGGAGAGCCCUAACAAGAAAUUUCUAGACCUGCAAGAAUAAGACCCCCUGCAAGGACCCUGGUUUGAAUUGCGGAUCUCCCUACGGGGGCCUGCCUGGUCCACCUGCCCAGCCUCCCUGCCGUACCCUCACCCAUCCUCACCCAGUUUGUCGAAAAGCAACAGAUGCAAAGAGCCUGCAAGGGCAGGACAGUUUCACGGGCUAAGCCAGAUCCCCGCUCUCCCUUUUUUCAAAUUAAAAUGGAGAUGUGCUUCAGCUGCCUCUCCCACAUCCCUCUUCCUGGGAGGACCUGGAGGGGUCCUCAGGAGGGGGACAGAGGGGCACUCAGGAGCCCCACACAAGCUGUCGAGGCUGUUCUGGAAGUGGGUAAUCUCUGAAAGGGUGAUUUAGAGCUCAGCGUGGCAGGGCUGGAGGCAGCGAGGUAGCUGUUCCCCACGGCGCUCAUUAAGUUUCCAUAGAUUGCAUUUCCUGCCUCCCCCCCCCCCCGCUAGCCCUCCAAAGUGCCUGUUACUAAUUCAUAAAAACACUGCAAGCGUGAUCGAGUCCGCUGAUUACUGGAGCAGGCAGACACAAGAGACGGUAAAAUGUUCCGUGUCUCUCUAUCAGGCUCUCAGGGGCUCAGGAGGAAGAAAAAAUUAAAAAAGAGAAAAACAACAACAUGAAGAAAGGAAUAUGAAAAAAAAAAAAAACUGUGUUGUGAAAUAUUAAUCAGAGCUGUUUGCCCCCGGGGGCCAAAAAUAUGAGGCAGCAUAAUCAAUGUAGCAAGAGCUGCCCAGCAACAUGUCUUUGAGAAGCUGAUUAUUGCGGGUAAACACAGCUAAAUAUUCUGAAUCUUUGGA